rnacentral:rRNA from 1 species
AACGAACGCUGGCGGCAUGCCUAACACAUGCAAGUCGAACGAGACCUUCGGGUCUAGUUGCGCACGGGUGCGUAACGCGUGGGAACCUGCCCUUAGGUUCGGAAUAACUCCCCGACAGGGGUGCUAAUACCGGAUAAUGUCUUCGGACCAAAGAUUUAUCGCCUUUGGAUGGGCCCGCGUUGGAUUAGCUAGUUGGUAGGGUAAAAGCCUACCAAGGCGACGAUCCAUAGCUGGUCUGAGAGGAUGAUCAGCCACACUGGGACUGAGACACGGCCCAGACUCCUACGGGAGGCAGCAGUGGGGAAUAUUGGACAAUGGGCGAAAGUCUGAUCCAGCAAUGCCGCGUGAGUGAUGCAGGCCUUAGGGUUGUAAAGCUCUUUUAACCGGGAUGAUAAUGACAGUACCGGGAGAAUAAGCUCCGGCUAACUCCGUG